UUUCUAAAAUUACAAUUGCGAAAAAAACGACGAUUCUAAAUUUAAAGAAGCCUCAUUUUUUUAUCCCUGAUUCUUCUCCCUCUUCACCUUCGUUUUCUCGUCGUCGUCGCUUCCUCACUGCCAAACCUUUUCGUCGCUGCGUAGUUGUUCAUUGAUGUUGUAGGGUUGAUUGUUGCAGUAGCUCCACCCUCCAUCUCACUUGUCUCUGCGCUCUCCCUCGUCUCCAGUUUGUACCGCCGCCGCCAACGGUGGUCCUGAAUCCAAUAUCAACUAGGAAGAGAUGAAGAAUGAAUCAGAAUCUUCGAGUCGCCCUAAUUUGAAGAAAUCGUUCAACUAUCCUGCUGAAUUCAAGUUGCCCAACAGGUUCUGUUUAGGUCAACUAGUUCCAUGGUACUUGUCUCGUGGUAGUCUACAGAGCCAUGCAGUGUUGCAGCAGAUGAUGUGGGUGUUUAGGGCCGAAGUGUGCUUUGUUCUGGUCAGCAGUACCAGAAAAAGGGUCUUUAAAGUUAGAUGUCGCAAACGCAUAGCUGCUGAUUGUUGAGGUUUGUGCCGAUUCAGAAGCAGAUUGUUGCAAACUCUGCUGUCCAAAUGAUUAUUGCGCUGACAUUCAUAAAGAUUAGCUUGCUUUACGUGGAUUUUAAGAAGAUUCACGAGAUCCGAAGCAAGUUUGGUCUCCAAGUAGAAGCUUUAUUUUUUAUAUUAACACUUUCACUUGCAAUUCCAAAGCACACGUCCUCUUCCAAACACACUAGUGUUGGGUUUAAAUUGGUGGAUGUGGAAAGCGGUAAGCUUAGAUUAAAAGUUCAAACGGAAGCUGCAGUUCUUGAUUGUUGUUUCCAGAGUGAGCCUGUUGUUGUCUCCGCUGCUUCAGAUGGUUCCAUUUUUAGGUCAGAUCUCUUUUCGGAGUCUCAGAGGAUUCAAUAAACAAUCCAAACCCGAACCCGGGGUAUUCCAGAUGCUCGCACAUAUCUUUUGGCUUUGAAGGAGAUACGGCUCAAGGUAACAAGCUGGUUGACAUGGUUCAUAUUUCUUUUGUGCGAAAGCGUUAUCCAUCUUACACAAUCUGCUGCCUCACAAAUAGGUUAAUGUUUUUUAUCAAUAAAAGUUGAGACUAUUUGCAAGAAUAUGGUUUACUUAAUUUAAUUUCUUCACAUGUUCCAUUUUUUUUGUGCUGCAUACUGAUAUGAACAUGUUCUGUGUUUCUGUGCUGCAUCUUGAUAUGGUCAUAUUUUGCCUUUCUAAUCUUCAUUGAUGCUAGCUUGCUGAUCUGCACUAAUGCUUAAUGAUCUGCUUGGUCUUUUAUGUCUGAUCUGUACAUCUGUAAAGACCUUCUUUCUGCUGCAUUGCUGCAUUUGACAUAAGUUGACUUAGGUUGACUUUCUAGUGAACCUAAGUCAACUUUGUUACAACUUAAUAAUGAACAAAUGGGUUAGCUCAAAACAUACUUUGGUGAAAGAAAAAAAUCACCUGUAUUGAUCCAAUAAACCUUAAAUGUUCUUAACUAGACCUAACUAGGUGACAUUGAGUUAAAAGUUGGGAGUGAAAUGAUCCAUUUUAAUCAAAAUAUGACCUAUAAUGAUAAAACUAUCCUUAAAUGUGCAUAACUUGACCAACGUAGGUGAGAAUGAGUCUUAGAAAAAUAAAACUAAGUAUAUUAAACAUGUAAAAGAUUUAAAAUACUCAUUUAGGUUCAUUAGUUGAAAUUCGGGACCGAAAUAAGCCAUUUUAGUCAAAAUGUGACCUGUAAUGAUCAAACGAGUCUUAAAUGUGCAUAACUUGGCCAAAAUGGGUGAUAAUGAGUAUUUGAAACAUAAAACUAAGUGUAUACAUGGAAAGUCUUUAAAAUACUUAUUUAAGUUCAUUAUUAAAAGUUGGGACCAAAAUAAGCAAUUUUAGUCAAAAUGUGCCCUAUAAUGAUCAAACGAGUCUUAAAUACGCAUAAGUUGACAAAAGUGGGUGAUAAUGAGUCUUUGAAACAAUAUGUUAAGUGUAUUAAACAUGUAAAGAGUUUAAAAUACUUAUUUAAGUUCAUUAGUUGAAAGUUACGAGCGAAAUAAGACAUUUUAGUCGAAAUGGGACGUAUAAUGUUCAAACAAGCCUUAUAUGUGCAUAACUUGACCAAAGUAGGUGAGAAUGAGUCUUUGAAACAUCAAAAUAAGUAUAUUAAACAUGUAAAAGUUUUAAAAUAUUCAUUUAGGCUCAUUAGUUGAAAGUUGGGACCGAAAUAAGCUAUUUUAGUCCAAAUGUUCUACGAGCGCUAGGGGGAUGUUUUGUCCUUUGCAUCCAACCACUAAGUAAAGGGCUUUAUUGUGAGCACCCCCCUCUUUGGGUAAGUCUUUAUCAGUGAAAACUAUGGCCUUUUCUCCGGCAUCUCUCGUGACAUGGCUAACCAAUGAGUCAGGUGUGAUAUCUGUGGGUACUGAGAUGAGGUCAAGUGAGAGAAUAAGCUUUUCGCGAUGUUCCUUUGAAGUACACAUAAGAUCCCAGAUGGUAAUCUCAGCCUUGGUUCUUUUCAGUUGUUUCAGGAGAGAAUUUUCAAUGACUUCCGCGACGGUGGCGUGCCGCCCGUUCUCAGGAGUUUGCCUAACCGGGAUGUCGUCCAUAGGAGGUGGGUGAAUAUCCGGUUGGUAUAUCCUUCCGGAUCGGGUGAGGUUGUCGACCUCGGGCUCCUGAGGGGUGGUGUCAAUGAGAGCAUACUCGGGCCAAGUUUCAGUGAAGAGGUCCUGGCCCGAGACUUGAGAUAGGUAAAUAUCUUCAGCAUCAUCGUUCCACACACCGCACAGUUCCCCCUCGAUUCGAUCCAUAGGUACCACAGCGAGUGGUGCACCUUGAGGUGUAAUAUACACCGUGGGGUCGAAAUUCUCUGGUUGGUCGAGAGAGAUGUGACAAGAGCCGAGUGGGCUCUUGUUGUUGUUGAGUAUGCCAACGUUAGGGAGAGGUGUUUGUUAGGUUAUGAUACAUAUGACAAUUCAUAAAUCAUGCGGAAAAACCAUAAAGCCAGGAAAGCAUAUUAUUUACACAUAAUCAUUUAGCAUAGUUUAGAUGCAUACUCUUUGUUGCGUGCCUUCCCUAGCUGCGCCCGAACCGAACAAGAACAAGUCUUUAGGAAUCCAAGUGUCUUCCCUCCGUAGAUAGUCCACAGCACGUCCGGAUCCGCCUUAAGCUUGACCAACUAGGAUCGCCCUUAAGGUACUUAGAAUUUUCGGCACUUAUAGGCAAUUGUGUGACUGAAUUUUUGCUCUCAAAAAUCACUUUGAAUACUUGAAUACUCGAUAUAAAUUGUGAGCAUUGAUCACCUAUUUAUAAGGCAUGGGUAUCGGAUAUUAGAAUCCUACUAGGAAACGAUUUAUUGAAUCUGAAUUAAUCUAAAAUUCAAUCACUUAAUUUAUCUAGUAGACUUAGGAAUCAAUCUUAUACGAAUCCUAACCGAUCAAGGUUUCGUACGCAAGCACAAACACACACGCAGGCGCAGCAGCCCACGAGGGGCGCCUUGCGUGCGCGGGCGCUGAGCCCAGGCCCAGCAGGUGCUCGCAGCCCACAAGGGGCGUGCGCCUACUGGCCUUGCUCUCGCGUUUGGGCUUUGCUUGCUUUGGUCGCGCGCGGGCUUUGCUAGGCGUUGGGCCUAGCUUCGUGCUAGGCCUUGCGUCUAGCAAGCUCGUCCGAUGUUUAUUCGUACGAUACGCUUCCGAUUAAAUUCCCGGUUCCGGAAUUCAUUUCCGAACAAUAUUUAAUAUUUCCGAUUCCGGAAUAAAUUUCCGUUUCGAACAAAUAUUUAAUAUUUCCUUUUCCGGAAUUAUUUUCCGAUUCCGAUAAUAUUUCCGAUUCUGACAAUAUUUCCGUUUUCGGCAAUAUUUCCGAUUCCGGCAAUAUUUCCAUUUCCGAUAAUAUUUUCCGAUACGUACCAUGUUUCCGUUUCCGGCAACAUCUACGACUUGGAUAAUAUUUAUAUUUCCGAUACGAUCCAUAUUUCCGUUUCCGGCAAUAUCAUCGUUUCCGGAGUAUUCAUUUCUUGCUUGUGACGAUCUCAGCUCCCACUGAAACCAAGAUCCGUUGAUUUCGAAUAUCCAUAGAUGGAGUAUUUAAUGCCAUUAAAUACUUGAUCCGUUUACGUACUAUUUGUGUGACCCUACGGGUUCAGUCAAGAGUAAGAUGUGGAUUAAUAUCAUUAAUUCCACUUGAACUGAAGCGGCCUCUAGCUAGGCAUUCAGCUCACUUGAUCUCACUGAAUUAUUAACUUGUUAAUUAAUACUGAAGCGCAUUUAUUAGACUUAACAUUGAAUGCAUACUUGGACCAAGGGCAUCAUUUCCUUCAGUCUCCCACUUGUCCUUAGGGACAAGUGUGCAUUUCCUAAUUCCUUUGUCGCUCGAUGCUUGCUCUUGAACAUAAGGUAAGAGUUGUCAUCCUUAUUAUGUCCAGAGGUGUUCCUCGGUUUCAGAGUUCAACUGAUCAAAUAAACAGAUAAUCAUAGCCUAUGAUUCAUCCGAGCACGGCCAUGCAUUUCACAGUUUCUAGCUCUCCGAGUGGCCUUGUACAACUUUUAAGCAUCUCAUCCCGAUUUAUGGGAGGACAAUCCCAAUCUUGCGAUCUUGAGAUUAGACUUCGUUUGAUAGGUGAUUACCUGAGCGUUGCCCUUAUAGCCUCCUUUUACGGUGCGACGGUUGGUCAACGUCAAAGCAACCAGUUCUCAAACAAGUAAUCUCAAAUCACUCAGGUAUUGAGGAUUUAGUGUCUAAUAAUUUUAAUGAAAUUACUUAUGACAGAUUUUCAUCUCUUACAGUAAAGUUUCAUAGGUCUUGUCCGAUACUAGUCUUCCCAAAGUAAGUAUCUAUGCAAAUGAUUAUGACAUUGCCAUGUCCACAUAGUUCAAGAAACAGAACUACUAGUCAUCUUGCAUUCUAGUCGUCUAACGUUUUCUAUGCGUCCAAUUUUAUAGAAAACUCCGACUAGGGACCAUUUUCAACCUUUGACAUUCAAGUUCACUUGAUAGACAUUUCUUAGUCACAGGACUGGUCCUGACAGUCUAUCUUGAAUAUAUCGCCAAAUUGAAGGGACUCAUCAUUUAAUAAACCACAAAUUAAAUGGAAAAAUGAAUUCUCUUCAUUUAUUGUGAAUGAUUAACCAAUAAUGUUUUACAAAGAUUUAAACUCUAAAACUUUAAAACAUUAAACAGGGAUAUCAAAGCCAUUCUCCAAUAUGCUUGAUUCCCAUAGCUGCAGUGUGCGAGUUGUGCUUCGCCUGCGGCAGAGGUUUAGUCAAUGGAUCUGAUAUGUUGUCAUCAGUUCCAAUCUUGUUUAUCUCGACUUUUUUUCUUUCAACGAACUCUCGUAGAAGGUGAAAUCUACGAAGUACAUGCUUGACUCUCUGGUGGUGUCUAGGCUCCUUUGCCUGUGCAAUAGCUCCGUUAUUAUCACAAUACAGGGCUAUUGGUCCUUUAAUGGAGGGGACUACACCAAGUUCACCUAUGAACUUCCUUAGCCAUAUAGCUUCCUUUGCUGCUUCAUGUGCAGCAAUGUACUCCGCUUCAGUUGUAAAAUCCGCAAUGGUGCUUUGCUUAGCACUUUUCCAGCUUACUGCACCCCCGUUGAGGCAGAAGACAAACCCAGACUGUGAUCUGAAAUCAUCUUUGUCGGUUUGGAAACUUGCGUCCGUAUAGCCUUUAACAAUUAAUUCAUCAUCUCCACCAUAGACCAGGAAGUCAUCUUUGUGCCUUUUCAAGUACUUCAGAAUAUUCUUGGCAGCAGUCCAAUGCGCCUCUCCUGGGUCUGACUGGUAUCUGCUCGUAGCACUGAGUGCAUACGCAACAUCCGGGCGUGUACAUAUCAUAGCAUACAUUAUUGAACCAAUCAAUGAUGCAUAUGGAAUCCCAUUCAUUCGUCUACGCUCAUCAAGUGUUUUUGGGCACUGAGUCUUGCUUAGAGUUAUUCCAUGAGACAUGGGUAGGUAGCCUCGCUUGGAGUCCGCCAUCUUGAACCUAUCAAGCACCUUAUUGAUAUAAGUGCUUUGACUAAGUCCAAUCAUCCUUUUAGAUCUAUCUCUGUAAAUCUUGAUGCCCAAUAUGUACUGUGCUUCUCCUAGAUCUUUCAUCGAAAAACAUUUCCCAAGCCAAAUCUUGACAGAGUUCAACAUAGGAAUGUCAUUUCCGAUAAGUAAUAUGUCGUCGUUAUAUAAUACUAGGAAAGCAAUUUUGCUCCCACUGACCUUCUUGUAUACACAAGAUUCGUCUGCGUUCUUGAUGAAACUAAAGUCACUUACUGCUUCAUCAAAACGUAUAUUCCAGCUCCUGGAUGCCUGCUUCAAUCCGUAGAUUGACUUCUUUAGCUUGCAUACCUUUUUAGCAUUCUUUGGAUCCUCAAAACCUUCAGGCUGUGUCAUAAACACAGUUUCUGUUAAAACGCCGUUUAAGAAAGCAGUUUUGACAUCCUUCUGCCAUAUUUCGUAAUUGUAAUAUGCAGCGAUUGCUAACAUUAUCCGAAUAGACUUUAGCAUUGCAACUGGUGAAAAGGUUUCAUCGUAAUCCACACCGUGGACUUGCCUGUAACCUUUUGCAACCAAUCUAGCUUUGAAAACUUCAAGUUUCCCAUCCUUGUCUUUUUUCAAUUUGAAAACCCAUUUGCUUCCAAUGGCUUGGUAGCCAUCUGGCAAAUCGACCAAAUCCCAUACUUGGUUUUCAGACAUGGAGUCUAAUUCAGAUUGCAUGGCUUCUUGCCAUUGCUUGGAGCUAGGGCUCGUCAUAGCUUGUUUGUAAGUCGCAGGUUCAUCACUUUCAAGUAAUAGAACGUCAUAGCUCUCGUUCGUCAAAAUACCUAAGUACCUUUCCGGUUGAGAUCUAUAUCUUUGCGAUCUACGCGGGGUAACAUUUCUAGAUUGACCAUGAUUCUCACCAGAUUCUUCUAAAGAUCUCUGAGUUUCAUCCUGAAUGUCAUCUUGAGCAUUCUCUAGAGUUUGUUGUUCGACUCGAAUUUCUUCGAGGUCUACUUUUCUCCCACUUGUCAUUUGGGAAAUGUGAUCUUUCUCCAAAAAGACACCAUCUCGAGCAACAAACACCUUGUUUUCAGAUGUAUUGUAGAAGUAAUACCCCUUUGUUUCCUUUGGAUAGCCCACAAGGAUACAUUUGUCAGAUUUUGGAUGAAGUUUGUCUGAAAUUAAUCGUUUGACGUAUACUUCACAUCCCCAAAUCUUAAGAAAAGACACAUUUGGAGGCUUUCCAAACCAUAAUUCAUACGGAGUCUUUUCGACAGCUUUAGACGGAGCUCUAUUUAUAGUGAGUGCAGCUGUAUUUAGUGCAUGUCCCCAAAAUUCUAAUGGAAGUUUGGCCUGACCCAUCAUUGACCUGACCAUGUCUAGCAAGGUUCUGUUCCUCCGUUCCGACACACCGUUCCAUUGUGGUGUUCCAGGAGGAGUCAAUUCUGAUAGAAUUCCACAUUCUUUCAGAUGGUCAUCAAAUUCAUAGCUCAGAUAUUCACCGCCUCUAUCAGAUCGCAGUGCCUUAAUCUUCUUGCCUAAUUGAUUGUCUACUUCACUCUGAAAUUCCAUGAAUUUGUCAAAGGAUUCAGACUUAUGCUUCAUUAGGUAGACAUAACCAUAUCUACUGAAGUCAUCAGUGAAAGUGAUAAAGUAGCUGAAACCACCUCUAGCAUUUGUACUCAUUGGUCCACAUACAUCUGUAUGGAUUAAACCCAAUAGUUCAUUUGCUCUUUCUCCAACUUUAGAGAAAGGUUGCUUUGUCAUUUUGCCAAGUAAACAUGAUUCACAUUUACCAUAAUCCUCUAAGUCAAAUGGUUCUAGAAUUUCUUCCUUUUGAAGUCUUUCUAAGCGUUUCAAGUUUAUAUGGCCUAAUCGACAAUGCCACAGAUAGGUGAGAUCUGAAUCAUCCUUUUUGGCCUUUUUGGUAUUUAUGUUAUAUACUUGUUUGUCGUGAUCUAAUAAAUAAAGUCCAUUGACUAAUCUAGAAGAUCCAUAAAACAUCUCUUUAAAAUAAAACGAACAACUAUUGUCUUUUAUUAAAAAGAAAAAUCCCUUAGCAUCUAAGCAAGAAACUGAAAUGAUGUUUUUAGUAAGAUUUGGAACAUGGAAACAUUCUUCCAGUUCCAAAACUAGCCCGGAGGGCAACGACAAAUAAUAAGUUCCUACAGCUAAUGCAGCAAUCCGUGCUCCAUUUCCCACUCGUAGGUCGACUUCACCCUUGCUCAACUUUCUACUUUUUCUUAGUCCCUGUGGAUUGGAACAUAAGUGUGAGCCACAACCUGUAUCUAAUACCCAAGAAGUUGAAUUAUCAAGUAUACAAUCUAUAACGAAAAUACCUGAAGAUGGAACGACUGUUCCGUUCUUCUGAUCUUCCUUUAGCUUCAAGCAAUCUCUCUUCCAAUGCCCCUUCUUCUUGCAGUAGAAGCAUUCGGAUUCAAAAGUGGGUUGACUGACCUUCCUCUUUACAGAUUUGGCGCCAGUUUGCUUAGUUGGGCUGGCCUUGUUGCCACCUUUCUUAGCAUUCCUCUUCUUUCCAGAUUUCUUGAACUUGCUCCCACGCACCAUAAGCACAUCCUGCUUAUCACUUUUGAGCGUCUUUUCAGCGGUUUUCAGCAUACCGUGAAGCUCAGUGAGCGUUUUGUCCAGACUAUUCAUACUGUAGUUCAGUUUGAACUGAUCAUACCCGCUAUGAAGAGAAUGGAGGAUGGUGUCUAUAGCCAUUUCCUGAGAAAAUUGCUGAUCCAGCCGACUCAUAUUCUCAAUGAGUCCAAUCAUUUUGAGAACAUGUGGACUUACGGGCUCGCCUUUCUUAAGCUUGGUCUCAAGAAUUUGCCUAUGAGUCUCGAAUCUUUCGACUCGAGCCAGAUCUUGGAACAUGUUCUUCAACUCACUGAUGAUUGUGAAAGCAUCUGAGUUGAUGAACGUUUUCUGCAGAUCUGCACUCAUGGUGGCGAGCAUUAGACAUUUCACAUCCUUGUAAUUAGGCUUUCAUUACGUAAUUUUCAUUUUUUCUUAGGCUUAUCUUAGAAUUCUCUCUCUAGAAUUAGUUUAGGGAUUAGAUUAGAGAUUAGGAUUAAGGAUUCUUAGCCUCAAAUUCUUGAUUCUAAAUUCAAUUUAAUCAUCAAAUGUUCAGAUUUCUUUUCUAUUUCUUUUGAGCUUUGUUCUUCAUUUUGUUCUUCAAAGUUUGAUGCAAUUUCUUCAUUUCAAGGUAUAAUUCUAAUUCUUCUUUUGAUCAGUUCUUUAAUUCUUUAAUUGAUUCAUUAAUUUCGUUUAUGCUUUGGUUUCAUGCUUGAAUUCUAGAAUUAGUUUCUCAUUUUGAAUGUUCUUGAUUUUUCCCCAAUUUUUGUAGUUUGAAUUUUCUGAAUUUUGUUGUUUCAAUUAGCUUCAUUAAUUCAAUUAGUUUCAUGAUUAGGAUUAAUGUUAGUUUGGUGUUGAUGUUAAUCAUGCUAAUUGAGUAGUUUAGUCUAGAGGUUAGGGAUGAAACUUUGGCAUUGAAUUUGGGGAAUUUUAGGGAUUAAAUGUGAUUUAGUGAUAGGACAUCCAUGACUAAUUGAGUAGUAGUCGUGAAUGCUAUUUGAUUGGAUUAGAUUGGAAUGUAUGAUUAGGUUUGGUAAGACAUUGUGAGCCUAAUUUAUGCAAGUGAAUGAUUGUUCCUAUUAUAUGCAAGCUUAUCUAGUUUAGGAUUAGGCGAAAGCUCUUCCAUAGGCUAGGCUGCUUCGAGUGCUCCAUCCGAGAGGUGGCGAGCACGUCAUUUGGUUUCAUUCCCCUAUGUGCUAUGUCAUUGCAUAUUCAUGAAUGUUUUGACCUUGUGCUUCCUUUGAUUCGAUUUCCACUGCCGAUUCCCGAAAUCUCUAGAAUCUCUUUAUUUGUUUGCUUUUCUAGAUUUCAUUAGAUUAGUUCAAAAACUCAAUUCUUGUUCGAACUAGCUUGUGAACGCAUAGAUUGAAUAAUCAAACAUAUCCAUUCCUAUGGGACAAUCCCUAUACUUGCCGCUAUAGUCCAUAUAGCCGGUUAGUUAGGUGUUUUAUAAAUUUUGUUUGGUGAGGUGUUGAUCUUUCAACGACGGAAAAACACCCUAUCAAAAUGGCGCCGUUGUCGGGGAAUGACAUCAUUGUUUGAUUUUUCUUUCUAGUUCUCUAAUCUAGUUCAUUUUUCAUUUUCUUUUUCUUUAAAAACCAAAAAAAUGGCAAAUUCCUUUGUUUCUUAAAAUGACGAAUCGAUUACACUUGAUGAUCUUCUCUUUCUCCAUGAUAAUUUCCUAAGCUCUUUGAAUUUUGAACCUCCAAAAUCAUUGUUGGAGAGGUUCCUUUUCAUAAAAUAUCUUGAAAUUCAAGAAGAGCAAAGAAUAGAUUCUUGUUUGAAUGCAUUUGAAUUCAUGUCCCAACAAGUUGUAAAAGGGUUUUUGGGAAUUUCUAACCUAAUGCAAGAGUCUAUUAAGGAAGUUUCAUGGAGAAGAGAAGAGUUUGAGGCUGCAUUGCCACCUAUGAUGCAUGACAUUGAGAAAUUAAGUAUCGGAGAGUUUCUUCCUACUCAUUCCUCUUUGAGUGAAUUCAUCGAUGAUGGUGAUGAAAAUUUAUUUGCUCCAUUUUGCUUUGAAGUGCUUAAGUCGAUUCAAAUGGAGGAAAAAAGUGAGUGUGCCUACCAAAAACUUUUAAAAGUUAAUUAAGGAUCUUAUGUUGAGAUUUCUUGUGCUUUAUGUGAUGUGAGUAAAGUUGUUUGUGAAUCUUUUGUUCCCACUCCCUUCCCUCAUUCCCAAUUUGGAAAGAAGAAACUCAACAUUUAUCCUUCAUUUUCCAUUUCUUUUGCCUUUUUGUCAAGACUCCCACCGCUUGAGGAUUCUUUUUCCUCUAUUGAUCCUAAUGAUUCUCCUUCACCAAAGAAGCAUUAAGAAGGGAGUAUUUCUUUUGUUUUUCUUUUUGAUUUUUCUUAUUUUUGGUUCCCUACCCCUUGUAGGCAUAGAGUUGCAUUCUACUUUGUGCUUGCAUCUCAUUUUACUCUUGCCUACUUGUUACUAUUUGAUAUGCUUGCCAUUUCAUAUGACAAACUAUUGCGAUCGUUGUCGGGGUACUUACUAGAGGUAAGAGGGUCAAGCUAAUGACGUAAAAAGAGCGCUUCUCGGGAGGCAACCCGUGGGUGUUGGCCACUUGGGCCAUGUAUACUAAUUUUUCUUGAUUUUUGAAGUUUUUUGUGGCUCAAGCUUUAUUGAUGUGGAAAUCUUUGCAUCCAUCUUUGCCAUGUCCGGCUAUUCUUAUUGGAGAGUUCGUUCGUUAUUACGGUUCUUUGCGGGACUUGCUCCCACGACGGUUCUGGUAAUAUCAUUCUAACUUUCUUGCAUUCUUUGGGUCGGGCCUCAUAUAUGCGGUGCAUUGGUUGGAUGGGUAGCUAUGCCCACUCCUAGUUUCAUUUUAGGCCUUGAGGACAUGGCCUAAUUUGAGCUUGGGGGGGGGGGGGAUUCUAUUCUUUGCUACUUUGAUCUCCGUGUGAUGGAUUGCUUGAUUUUGUGAAUAUUUUGGAUUUUGUGCAUAUUUCUUGAUUAGUUUCAUUGAUUUUGUGAAUAUUUUCUUUAUUUUCCUUUUUUUUACUUCAUUUUCUUUUCCUUAUUUUCUUUCUCUUUUCUCUUUAUUUCUUUUUUCCUUUUCGAUCUUUGUUAAGGCAAGCUUUUCUAGAUUUUUAGGCAUUAUUCUCCAUUUGGGCAAAUAAAAUUGGAACUUGAAGGCUAGAAUGCUUUUAUUCCUAAUUGGUAGAUGUUUGCACGGUUUUCAAUGUCUAGGGUCGAAUCUAGGAUUUAGGUGUUAAGAAAGUUUGUUGAACUUUGGGUAGCAUGCGUCUUGAACCCUUGGCUUGUGGUAAGAUGGUGUCGAUAUCUCUAGUGACUUGAAACCGGAGAGAGUGGUAUUUGCUCCCAUGUGAGGUUCAUGUUCAAAUUAGCCCAAACAAAUAUACAUAUAUUGAGUGGCAUUGAUCCUUAGCAUUGACUUUCUUAUCUCCCAAAUUUGACUAUUUCCUUCCCGAGACCACGAGCGAACUACUUUAGGGGACAAUAGAGGCAUUUAUUUCGGUGACUAUCGUUCUUUUUAGUUUAGGACUUUAUUUUCUAUUUUUCUCAUAUGUUUUUGUUUGCAUUUGCCCCCUUGCUAUCCAUUUGAGCCUUUCCCCUUCAUUUCUUAUGAGCAGAGUACAAGCCUAAUAGCCUUUGUUUUGUUUUCACCCUUAAAAGUGAUAGUGAAGCUUUGAUUUAUGAUGCUUGAUGGUUUUAAAUGAUUAUGCUAAGUUGAGGAAUGAUUGUUAUUGGUAUGAAUGACAAGUUUUGGGAAUCUUGAUGUACAUAGUGAAUAAAUAAGCAAAAGCAAAAAGAGAAAGGAAAGUUUUGAAAAAGCCAAAAAUAGAGAGAAAAGAAGGCAAUGAGAAAAGUUUCAUUUGAAACACACAAAAAAAAAAAAAAAAUCAAGAAAAAGUUCAAAAAAAAGAGUUUUAGUUUAGUGUAGUUGUUAAAUAAGCUUGGGGGUACCCCAAAUAAGUGGUAUGAGUUUGUUUAUGGUUCGAUUUGCUUGAGUUGAGUUCAUUCAUUGCGCUUCACUUUAGGUUUGAGCACCAAUUACCAAAUUUGUUGCGCACCUUACCCCUAGCCUACUUUACACCCUAAAAGUCCUCUUGACCCUUUUGAGUUGAGUCAUUGUCGGUGGAGGGAGGAUUUGGUCAAGUUUAUGGAAUGGGAUUGUCAUGCUAAGAUGUCGGGUAGCCAAACCUUGUUUUCCGGCGCCUUCGCGGUGUCUCGAGACGCUAUUCUCAAGGGUGGAUAGGAUCUAGAGAUUUGACGCGGUAUGCUUGGUUGAAGGGGAAUUGAUAAGUGCUUGCCCUUAGUUCUCUUUGCUUGGCAUUUGAAUCUUUCCCUCGACUUAGGACAUUGGUCAGCGUGCAUUUGUUUAUUUGGUUAGUAAUAUUAGCAUUCUCUCAUACUUGUUCCAUAAUAAAGGCCCUUAUCUCGAGUUUUGUAGUUUCAUUUUUUUUUCUUUUUCUUUCUUUUCUUUUCUUUUCCCUUCUUUUCUUCUUUCUUUUCUUUUCUUUUCUUUUCUUGGUUUGUUUUUCAUUUUAUCUCUUGCCUUGAUUCAAAUUUUUGGAAGAGUUAUGGGUGUUUCUCUUUGGAAACCCUUGCGAGAUCCCACUCGCCCUCAUGACCGAUUGUGGGGUUCAAAGAGCUUGUUGCAUGCGCUUAAAUGCCAUCGUGAUUCCUACGAAAGUGAGUUAGUGUGCAUUCUUGUAGUUCUUAUUUUCGUAAUUUCGAUUUUUAAAUAAAUAAGCUCAUUCUCCUCCCCGUUUGUCAUUCUAGCUUUGCUGGAGGACAAGAAAAGGGUUAGCUUGGGGGAGUUUGAUGAGCGACAUUUAUGUCGCUUUUAGCUUAGGAUUUUAUUUCAUUUUAUUAGCAUUUUAUUAUUAUUUUUGCUAGCUUAAUUUUAUCGUUUUUAGUUCGUUUAUCGCAUUUUUGCAUUAAUCGUAACAUUUUCUCGUCUUGCGUAUAUUUUAGUCGUUUUUGCUCUAAAUGUGUCUUUUAUGCGCAUUCUCAUUGCGUAAGAGUCAUUUUGAGUCUUAACGUGUUAAUAAUUUGUCAAUAUUCUUGUCGACGAGUUAUAUGUUUUACAAUUGGUAAAAAUGUUAAACGAAUUAAUAUUUUGAUUUUCGAUUUUAAUAAUGUGCUCUACGAUUUAUUUGUGCAGCGACGAAGCGAGUUAAGAGCAUUUGAGUGGACAGCAGCUAUGCAUUCGCAAUGACCAAGAGCCAACACAGAGCUGGCAGCACACGCAAGGGACAACCACAGUAGCAGCCUCACGAGCAACAACAAGCCAUGACAACAGCAGCUCGAAACAACAACAUUGCACACGCUUUGUAGCAAUCCUUAGGCUGCUGUACAGCCCCUUGAGUGCCAUGAUUCAUACCUUACAGCAGCACCACAUCAUAGACCAGGCAGUGUAGAAACCAUAUAGCACAGCAGAAGCAAAGCAAUCGCAGCAAGAUCAUAGCAGAACAGCAACACGCAGCUACAACUCCAGUCAGUGCGGGCGCACAGCUGUGCCAGUGCGACCACACAGUUUAGUGCGAGCACACUGAAGUUUAGUGCGAGCACACGAAUUGCCAAAAUUAAUGCAGGAACUCAGUGGAGUUUUGUGCGAGCGUACAGACCCCCUCGUGCGAUCGCACAGCUGCGCGUAGGCUAUAAGUACGAGAAAUCGCAGCAUUUGUAAUUAGGCUUUCAUUACGUAAUGUUCAGUUUUCUUAGGCUUAGCUUAGAAUUCUCUCUCCAGAAUUAGUUUAGGGAUUAGAUUAGAGAUUAGGAUUAAGGAUUCUUAGCCUCAAAUUCUUGAUUCUAAAUUCAAUUUAAUCAUUUAAUUUUCA